rnacentral:rRNA from 1 species
GACGAACGCUGGCGGUGUGCCUAACACAUGCAAGUCGAACGGUAAGGCCCUUUCGGGGGUCCACGAGUGGCGAACGGGUGAGUAACACGUGGGUAACCUGCCCUCAUCUCUGGGAUAACAGUCGGAAACGGUUGCUAAUACUGGAUAUGAGCUUGCAAGGCAUCUUGUGGGUUGGAAAGAUUUUUUUGGUUGGGGAUGGACUCGCGGCCUAUCAGCUUGUUGGUGAGGUAGUGGCUCACCAAGGCUUCGACGGGUAGCCGGCCUGAGAGGGCGACCGGCCACAUUGGGACUGAGAUACGGCCCAAACUCCUACGGGAGGCAGCAGUGGGGAAUAUUGCACAAGGGACGGAAGUCUGAUGCAGCAACGCCGCGUGCGGGAUGACGGCCUUCGGGUUGUAAACCGCUUUCAAUUGUGACGAAGCUUUUUGUGACGGUAGCAGUAGAAGAAGCACCGGCUAACUACGUG